GGAGAAACGUUAGGCUACACUCGUUUCCAAGGUGAGUGGAGCAACGUUAGGCUACACUCGUUUCCAAUGUGAGUGGAGCGGAGAAACGUUAGGCUACACUCGUUUCCAAGGUGAGCGGAGAAACGUUAGGCUACACUCGUUUCCAAGGUGAGUGGAGCAACGUUAGGCUACACUCGUUUCCAAGGUGAGCCGAGCGGAGAAAUGUUAGGCUACACUCCUUUCCAAGGUGAGUGGAGAAAAGUUAGGCUACAAUCGUUUCCAAGGUGAGUGGAGAAACGUUAGGCUACACUCGUUUCCAAGGUGAGUGGAGCGGAGAAACGUUAGGCUACACUCGUUUCCAAGGUCAGCGGAGAAACGUUAGGCUACACUCGUUUCCAAGGUGAGCGGAGCGGAGAAACGUUAGGCUACACUCGUUUCCAAGGUGAGCGGAGAAACGUUAGGCUACACUCGUUUCCAAGGUGAGUGGAGAGAAGUUAGGCUAC